AGAAGUAGCCAAGACAUAGCAAUUCAAAACAGGAAGUUUUGAAUAGUAAAAUUCGGGCCAUGGAUGGAACGUAUUUUACGGUGCGUUAAGUGGCUUGGCGGAGACG
rfam:Kangiella koreensis DSM 16069, complete genome.